UACGUAGGGUGCGAGCGUUAAUCGGAAUUACUGGGCGUAAAGCGUGCGCAGGCGGUUCGUUAUGUCCGAUGUGAAAGCCCCGAGCUCAACUUGGGAAUGGCAUUGGAAACUGGCGGGCUGGAGUGUGGCAGAGGGGGAUGGAAUUCCGCGUGUAGCAGUGAAAUGCGUAGAUAUGCGGAGGAACACCGAUGGCGAAGGCAAUCCCCUGGGCCUGCACUGACGCUCAUGCACGAAAGCGUGGGGAGCAAACAGG
rnacentral:rRNA from 1 species